GAUGAAGAACGCAGCGAAAUGCGAUAAGUAGUGUGAAUUGCAGAAUUCAGUGAAUCAUCGAAUCUUUGAACGCACAUUGCGCCCGCCAGUAUUCUGGCGGGCAUGCCUGUUCGAGCGUCAUUUCAACCAUCAAGCCCCCGGCUUGUGUUGGGGACCUGCGGCUGCCGCAGGCCCUGAAAUGCAGUGGCGGGCUCGCUGUCACUCCGAGCGUAGUAGUUACAUCUCGCUCUGGGCGUGCUGCGGGUUCCGGCCGUUAAAAGCCUUAUUUACCCAAGGUUGACCUCGGAUCAGGUAGGAAGACCCGCUGAACUUAAGCAUAUCAAUAAGCGGAGGA
rnacentral:misc_RNA from 1 species